UCCGGAAUUAUUGGGCGUAAAGGGCUCGCAGGCGGUUUCUUAAGUCUGAUGUGAAAGCCCCCGGCUCAACCGGGGAGGGUCAUUGGAAACUGGGAAACUUGAGUGCAGAAGAGGAGAGUGGAAUUCCACGUGUAGCGGUGAAAUGCGUAGAGAUGUGGAGGAACACCAGUGGCGAAGGCGACUCUCUGGUCUGUAACUGACGCUGAGGAGCGAAAGCGUGGGGAGCGAACAGGAUUAGAUACCCUGGUAGUCCACGCCGUAAACGAUGAGUGCUAAGUGUUAGGGGGUUUCCGCCCCUUAGUGCUGCAGCUAACGCAUAAGCA
rnacentral:rRNA from 1 species